GGGUUGUACUGGAGGUUCUCAACAAGUGGUAUUAGAGCCCGAUUAUGUGGAGGAAAGAAGAAGAUGUCGAAGAUCAAGUUCAGCCCGAUUUCUGUAGCGUCCAGGUUUUUCCUUGUUUUCCUUCCUGUUGCUUCUUUGGUUAUGGUGAUCUCUCGAUUAGGUAGAGGGUUUUGACACAAGGAAGGGUUGGAAAAAGGUGGAGGAGAUAUGUUUCAGAUAUGAUCCUGAUUUUGGGGUGUGAGGCAUGGUAUUGCAGAAGGGAUAGGGCUGGCAGUUUGUUUGAAGGUUGAGAUGGCUUCAAGUGGUUUUAAGAUAGAGUUUGAGAACUUCGAUGGUAAGAAAAACUUCAUCUUGUGGCAGCAAUGGGUGAAUGACUUGUUAGUGCAGUAGCGGAUCUAUAAGGUCUUGAGAAGAGAGAGAUCGAAAAAUAUCAGUAC
rnacentral:lncRNA from 1 species